rnacentral:rRNA from 1 species
UACGUAGGGUGCGAGCGUUAAUCGGAAUUACUGGGCGUAAAGCGUGCGUAGGCGGUUCGUUAAGUUCGUUGUGAAAGCCCCGGGCUCAACCUGGGAAUGGCAAUGGAAACUGGCGGGCUGGAGUAUGGCAGAGGGGGGUGGAAUUCCGCGUGUAGCAGUGAAAUGCGUAGAGAUGCGGAGGUACACCGAUGGCGAAGGCAGCCCCCUGGGCCAAUACUGACGCUCAGGCACGAAAGCGUGGGGAGCAAACAGG